rnacentral:rRNA from 1 species
AUUGAACGCUGGCGGCAUGCUUUACACAUGCAAGUCGAACGGUAACAGGCCGCCAGGUGCUGACGAGUGGCGAACGGGUGAGUAAUGCAUCGGAACGUGCCCAGUCGUGGGGGACAACUACUCGAAAGAGUAGCUAAUACCGCAUACGAUCUAUGGAUGAAAGCGGGGGACCGUAAGGCCUCGCGCGAUUGGAGCGGCCGAUGUCAGAUUAGGUAGUUGGUGGGGUAAAGGCUCACCAAGCCAACGAUCUGUAGCUGGUCUGAGAGGACGACCAGCCACACUGGGACUGAGACACGGCCCAGACUCCUACGGGAGGCAGCAGUGGGGAAUUUUGGACAAUGGGCGCAAGCCUGAUCCAGCAAUGCCGCGUGCAGGAAGAAGGCCUUCGGGUUGUAAACUGCUUUUGUACGGAACGAAACGGCUCUGGUUAAUACCCGGGGCUAAUGACGGUACCGUAAGAAUAAGCACCGGCUAACUACGUG